CCUACGGGAGGCUGCAGUGGGGAAUUUUCCACAAUGGACGAAAGUCUGAUGGAGCAACGCCGCGUGCAGGAUGAAUGCCUUCGGGUUGUAAACUGCUUUUAUCUGUGACGAAUAUGACGGUAGCAGAUGAAUAAGGAUCGGCUAACUCCGUGCCAGCAGCCGCGGUCAUACGGAGGAUCCAAGCGUUAUCCGGAAUUACUGGGCGUAAAGAGUUGCGUAGGUGGCAGAGUAUGUCUGUAGUGAAAGCGUGUGGCUCAACCAUAUACACAUUACAGAAACUGCUCAGCUAGAGGGCGAGAGAGGUUACUAGAAUUCCUAGUGUAGGAGUGAAAUCCGUAGAUAUUAGGAGGAAUACCGAUGGCGUAGGCAGGUAACUGGCUCGUCCCUGACACUAAGGCACGAAAGCGUGGGUAGCAAACGGGAUUAGAUACCCCUGUAGUC
rnacentral:rRNA from 1 species